AUUGUUUGCUGUGUUGCCCAGGCUGGAGUGCAGUGGCUAUUCACAGGCGUGAUCCCACUGCUGAUCAGCAUGGGAGUUUUGACCUGCUCCAUUUCCAACCUGGACCAGUUCACCUCUCCUUAGGCAACCUGGUGGUCCCCUGCUCCCAGGAGGUCACCAUACUGAUGCCGAACUUAGUGCGGACACCCAAUAGACACAGUGCAUUGCAGCUCAGAACUCCUGGGCUCUAG
rnacentral:lncRNA from 1 species